rfam:Picea glauca, whole genome shotgun sequence.
GUUCAAACGAGGAAGGGAUUAUGGUGGAUACCUAGGCACCCAGAGAUGAGGAAGGGCAUGAAAAGCGAUGAAAUUCUUCUGGGAGUUGAAAAUGAGCAUAGAUCCAGAGAUUCCCGAAUAGGUUAACCUUUUUAACUGUUGCUUAAUCCAUGGGAAAGUAAGAGACAACCUAGAAAACUUAAACAUCUUAGUAGCUAGAGGAAUAGAAAGCAAAAGCGAUUCCCAUAGUAGCGGCGAGAGAAAUGGGAGUAGCCUAAACCGUGAAAACAGGGUUGUGGGAGAGCACAAUAUAAGAUUUGUGCUACUAGGCGAAGCAGUUGAGUCCUGCACCCUAGAUGGUGAGAGUCCAGUAGCCAAAAGCAUCAUUGGGUUACGCUCUAACCCGAGUAGCAUGGUGCACAUGGAAUAUCGUGUGAAUCAACAAGGACCACCUUGCAAGGCUAAAUACUCCUGGGUGAUCGAUAGCGAAGUAGUACCAUGAGGGAAAGGUGAAAAGAACCCCCAUCGGGGAGUGAAAUAUAACAUGAAACAAUAAUCUCCCAAGUAGUGGGAGGAAAAUGAUAUCUCUAACCGUGUGCCUAUUGAAGAAUGAGACGGUGACUUAUAGGCAGUGGCUUGGUUAAGGGAACCCACCAGAUUCGUAGCGAGAGAGAGUCUUCAUGGGGAAAUUGUCACUUCUUAUGGACCCGAACCUGGGUGAUCUAUCCAUGGGCACGAUGAAGAUUGGGUGAAACUAAGUGGAGGUCUGAACCGACCGAUGUUGAAAAAUUAGUGGAUGAGUCCUAGUUAGGGGUGAAAUGCCACUCGAACGCAGAGCUAGUUGGUUCUCCCUGAAAUGCGUUGAGGCACAACAGUUGACUGGAUCAUCUAGGGGUAAAGCGUUGUUUCAGUAUGGGCCAUGAGAGCGGUACCAAAUCGAGGAAAAAUAUGAAUACUAGAUUGCCCCAAUAAAAUGGGUAAAGGUCAGCCAGUGAGAUGAUGGGGGAUAAGCUUCAUCGUCGAGAGGGAAACAACCCAGAUCAUCAGCUAAUGCCCCUAAAUGACCUCUCAGUGAUGAAGGAAGUAUGAGUGCAAAGACAACCAGGGGGUUUUCCUAGAAGCAACCAACCUUGAAAGAGUGCGUAAUAGCUCACUGAUCGAGUGCUCUUGCGCCGAAGAUGAACGAGACUAAGCGAUCUGCCAAAGCUAUGGGAUGUAAAAAUACAUCGGUAGGGGAGAAUUUUGCCUCAGAGGGAAGCACCGAUGUGAGCAGGUGUGGAAAAAGCGAAAGAGAUAAUGUUGGAUUGAGUAACGCAAACAUUGGUGAGAAUCCAAUGCCCCAAAAACCUAAGGGUUCCUCUGCAAGGUUUGUCCAUGGAGGUUGAGUCAGGGCCUAAGAUUAGGCCGAAAGGUGUAGUCGAUGGACAACAGGUUAAUAUUCCUGUGCUGCCCCUUGUUGGUCCAGAGGGAUGGAGGAUGCUAGGUUAGCCGAAAUAUGGCUAUCGGUUCAAGGAUGCAAGGUGACCCUCUAUACAUUGAUUCAAAGGUAAAAUAAGAAUCAAAUAUAGGUGUGUACAAGGUGAGGUUGGGGGUGGAUAUUACUCAUCAUCUACUCUAGCACACAAAAAUCCAAGAUUUAUUAUCCAAACAUUAUAGGAUGAACAAAAUCAUGUACGAGAGCCCAUAUCAUCAAUGAGAGUGAGUAUACCUCCUAGGAGAUAUGUUAACCAUAUUGUAUUAGAUUCUUUCAUUUGAUAUCUUUACAAUUGUUUUGAGGAGGUGAUGUGUGAUACUUUGUUGGAUGAGUGUGAUGUUUGGGGG